rnacentral:lncRNA from 1 species
CUUAGCCUCUGAUACGUUUCUAACAACAUGCUCCUUAAACCUUUGGCCCUUCUCCUUUGCUUUAUCAACAGUCUCUUUGGUUUGUUGCUGAACAUCAUAGGCCUUCUCUUUUGCUUUAUCAACAGUCUCUUUGGUUUGUUGCUGAACAUCAUAGGCCUUCUCUUUUGCUUUAUCAACAGUCUCUUUGGUUUGGUGCUGAACAUCAUAGGCCUUCUCUUUUGCUUUAUCAACAGUCUCUUUGGUUCGUUGCUGAACAUCAUAGGCAUUCUCUUUUGCUUUAUCAACAGUCUCUUUUGUUUGUUGCUGAACAUCAUAGACCCUAUUAGACAUUGUCUCUCUGGCC